rnacentral:rRNA from 5 species
UGGCGACCAUAGCGUUAUGGACCCACCUGAUCCCAUGCCGAACUCAGUAGUGAAACGUAAUAGCGCCGAUGGUAGUGUGGGGUCUCCCCAUGUGAGAGUAGGACAUCGCCA